ACCGGAAUGGUGUAGCCUGGUAGCAUAAGAGACUGUGGAUCUCUUGGGGUGGGUUCAAAGUCGGGCUUUUUCUUUAAAGAAAAAGGCUGAAUGAAAAUCCCGCUUCCGGUC
rnacentral:tRNA from 1 species